rnacentral:misc_RNA from 1 species
AUUGUUAUUUUAGCCUAUAAACGCCAUAGGCUAGGAUAAACAAAGUAUACAUAUAUUGCUGUGUGUAGUCUUUGCCUGUCAGCCCAUGAUAGGCUUUUUUUUUG